GACUACUGGGGUAUCUAAGCCUGUUCGCUCCCCACGCUUUCGCUCCUCAGCGUCAGGAAAGGCCCAGAGAACCGCCUUCGCCACUGGUGUUCCUCCUGAUAUCUGCGCAUUCCACCGCUCCACCAGGAAUUCCAUUCUCCCCUACCUUCCUCAAGUCAACCCGUAUCGAAAGCACGCUCAGGGUUAAGCCCCAAGAUUACACUUCCGACGCGAUCAACCACCUACGAGCCCUUUACGCCCAAUAAAUCCGGACAACGCUCGCACCCUACGUAUCACCGCGGCUGCUGGCACGUAGUUAGCCGGUGCUUCUUUACCCAUUACCGUCACUCACGCUUCGUCACAGGCGAAAGCGGUUUACAACCCGAAGGCCGUCAUCCCGCACGCGGCGUUGCUGCAUCAGGCUUUCGCCCAUUGUGCAAUAUUCCCCACUGCAGCCUCCCGUAGG
rnacentral:rRNA from 1 species